rnacentral:tRNA from 1 species
GAUGAGGUGGCCGGUCCAUUGUGCUGUGCACGCGUGGGUUCGAAUCCCAUCCUCAUCG